UUUUGCUGUUAUUUGUGGGUUUUUUUUUGUCAUCAGAUACUGACUAUAAAAAAAAUCAGUGUUUAAAAGACUUUAUGAAUUGUAGUAGUGCAUCAUUUAAAGUCUAUCCUAUCUUAUCCUAUCUUCUAUGUAGACAGCCCAGUUAAGCAUGAUCACGUCCAUGGACUUAUCUCUACAGGACAAGUAGAGACAUUAACGUACAAUGAAGAAGUUUUUUGUGCUGUUUUGUCUUUUCAUAUGUUUCAUUGAGCUGUAGACAGAGUUUGAUGAGAUGAGCUGAAAUAAAGGUAAGCGAUUUCAACGUAUUUUGAUUGUAAUUGUUGGAUGCUUGAGUAAAGAGAAAAUGUUGGAAUGCCAUAGCAUUCUUUCUCAACAUCCUACUUGGACCCCAGAGAACAUUUUUGCAAAAGAAGGUAAUUUAAAGGCACUGGUGAAUGAGGAAUCAUUCUGUCCCCCAGGCUAGUUGGAGCCAGACUGAGCAAGGUCAGUAAGGUUGGUACAAACUUGGAAGAACUCAGUGGUGAUUGUGAGUCUGUAAAGACAGGAAAGCAUUUCUCCAAACACCCUUGGCCAUUGUUCCAAAAAGUUAAGAGACUUUGCAAAAGUGCAUGUUACUAAGCAUUUCUUAGGAACUAACCAUGUCCAGAGGCUCACACAGUAGCCAGCAGAGCCUAUAAAGCAUGUUCAUCAUCUAAGCUAUUCAUUAACAUGGUAAAAAGGCAUGGCAAGCGUUUAGGAAAAUGCACAGAUAUUACAUGGAAAUAUAUAUCUAUAUUUCUCCAAACCUGAGCUUAUUUUAUAUGAGGUACUUUAGAACUACCACGAGAUUGUUUUCUGAAGGCAACAAGUUCAGUAAAUUACUCUGCUUUUCUCCAGUCUUUUCAUCCUGCAUGUAAAAUUUCAACCAUGAUGAACAGAGGGAGUCUCUGGUCCAAAAGCCCCAAAUUUCUUAUCCACAAAUACAGGCAAAUGGAAAUUGCAGUUCUUCAAAAACAGCAUUCCUUAUUGUAAUUUGUUUUUCACUUGUUACAGAGUCAAAUAACAUUGGUAAGUGUAAUAAAAUGUUUUAAAAUAUUCCUGUGCUUGUUCAUUUGCUUUGAGGACAUAAAGAGGCAGAUCUUAAAGCAAUGUAUUCUGAUCGAGAAACAGCUGGAAAUGGCAGCAACGUGAUAUGGAGCAAUCAAGAACAGAAGGUUUAUUUUGAAUGAGAGGUGCUGUCCAACUGUGAGACUGAGUGAUCGCAGCUGAGAAUGAGUGCAAACACAAUCACUAGUGGCUCCAGGCAGCACAGCCAGGUUUAAAAACAAUUAUUAUUUUCUCUCAUGCUGUCUUCCUCUAAGAGGCUUGGGUUUCACCCUCAAAGGUCACCAUGGAGUCACUGUGAAGAGAUGCCUUCCUGUCUUUUGAAAUCCUGAGGAGUGGAGACUGGAGAAAACGGGUUUCAGUUACCUCAGGUUCACUGUCAUCCAGAAGUAGAGAGUCCUCCUGACGUGUCCUCAGAAGGUCAAUAGUUGCUAACACUACAUCACAUUGCCUAGGUCGUGCACCUCACUUCAUCUCAUCAAAUAGGCAUUUUUAUCAUCUCACAUCAUCACGAGAAGAGCAAGGUUUUCUGAAGAGGAUCUGAGGUGAACACAUCAGCCUGCAGCAUCCCUAGCAAUGUAAUUUUGAAUGUCCUAGUCUUUAAUGUCUGGAUCCCAAAAAGGGGAAAAUGAAAAGAAGAAGAAGAAGAAGAAGAAGAAGAAGAAGAAGAAGAAGAAAAGAAGAAGAAAAGAAGAAGAAAAGAAGAGGAGGAAGAGGAGGAGGAGACGGGAAAGGGGAAGUGGCCCUUUAAGUCUGCUGGAAGUCAUAUCAGCCAGAGGGGGAGGUACUUGCAGUAAUGGGGAUAAGUAAAACUAUAAUGACUGCUACCUCUUUGUCUGCAUCUGUAUGAUCAUCAGCAGCAACCAGAGGUCAGAACACAGAUCCCUAAUAUUUGGAGGACAGGGUCCAUUUUGCCCAACUUGGCUUCCACCAACUGUGUGUAAGCUUCUCUGGGAAUAUGUUCAAUUCCUGCCAUGCAGCAGGGAGUAGGUAUGGGGGGCUGCUACUGUGCUAAGAGCUGAAAUAGACUGUCCAUGCCUUCCUUUGGAAGUUGCAAGCUUUCCAUAGAGUUCAUAGUUCAAAAAGAGUUACAUCCGACGGAUUCUUCCAGUGUAGUGUUGUCUAGGUGUGAGGACAGAUUCCUGGUGCUUCCUAUUCUGCCAUCGUCCCAGAGCAUCAUGAAUGGCGAAUUUUUAAUCAUCUCAGUAAGGAUCACUUUUUAUUAAGUAAUUUAGCUUCCUUAAAAUGUGAUUAAUCUGGAAUUUCAGGGAAAGAAAAUGUUUCCAAACAGAUUUCCCAUCAUCUUAGAAUCCUUCGUUCAAUCUUCAUUGUCUAAAAGCAAAGUACAUAUUGAGAACAAAGUUCACAAGGGACUUUUCCCCUUUUCCCCAUGAUCUGACAUGUCCAAGUUUCACCAUUCAUAUUAAAGCAUUAUGCACUAGAGACGGUCACAAAUAGACUUAUACCACAUUUCCUUCCUUUAAUUUUAUAUUUACGUCAAUACCAACGUCUGAGCAGUACAGUUUUUUUUUCCUCUUUAACUCAACAAUUAAACUCAAGAUCAAUCCCAGACGUUUCAUGGCUCUUCCAAGUCACAUUGAUGCUGUAUAUGGGAGAAGAAAAAAAUUUCUGCUUCAAUGAAGAUUUUCCAUAAGGAUGAAGCUCCAUUUUUCAAUCCACAUUUAAUGAAACAUCUAUGCAUUUAAUACUUCAUUCAUUCAUCUAUAGUCUGAGUUCUUGUUUCCACUAGCACUUUUUAAGACCCUCAUCACAGUCUAGUGAGUCUGAUUUCUUAAGGAACCCUCUGUCUUUUGGGUGAGAAAGAUAUUUGGGAUCAAUCAUAUUUAGGCAGAGUUAAGUGAGAUAUUAUAGAGCACAGAAGGGGAAAGGACAUAUGCUGCUCGAAAGAGUCAGGAAAGGACAUCACAGGGAUGGUGUCUGAUCUCAGACUUAAAAGAUAAUUAGGAGUUAAUGAGGCAAAGAAUAUGAAAACAGUAAAAUAAGUGAAGGGAACAGCAUAUGCAAUGACACAUUGGCAUGUGCAGAGAUGUGGAAUUCAGAAUGCUUUCAGGAUGUUUAUAGAAAGAAGGGAUGGGUAGGAGUAAGAUUCUGAAAACUGAAUUUUAGGUCCUCUGACCUAAGGACGUUGGACUGAUUCUAUAGGCAAUAGAGCAUAAAUAAAGGGAAUUUUAAAGCAGAGGGUGGUUUGUGAGUAUUUGUUUUGCUGUAAGUUAUUUAUAAUAGCACACAGAGAAUUAGACACUGGUAGUAAGUAAAGCAGUGCAAGAAAGAAAUG